UACGUAGGGUGCGAGCGUUGUCCGGAAUUAUUGGGCGUAAAGGGCUCGUAGGCGGUUUGUCACGUCGGGAGUGAAAACUCAGGGCUUAACCCUGAGCCUGCUUCCGAUACGGGCAGACUAGAGGUAUGCAGGGGAGAACGGAAUUCCUGGUGUAGCGGUGAAAUGCGCAGAUAUCAGGAGGAACACCGGUGGCGAAGGCGGCGACCUGGGUAGAUACUGACGCUGAGGCGCGAAAGCGUGGGGAGCAAACAGG
rnacentral:rRNA from 1 species